GCCAAAUCUGGUUCACCGACGGACCUACCGGGACCUUCACAGAAGCAAAGAUCACGAAGUUCCCAGCGGAGUCAGACUCUGCGCUCAAGUCCCAGACAUCAACCGUCAGCUUCGAUGUCUCCUUGAUAUCACUGUAGGAAGCGAGGCUGUAUUUCUUCACGACCACUACGGUGCCGUUUUUCAUUGCCACAAGAGCCUGGGCACCUGCCAUGCCAGUCCCAUUGAGGUUGAUGCCCCAUCCCACCCAGCCGUCAGUCUUGGCCGGAGGCGCCUUUAAGGCGAUUGAAAGGGAGGAGUUGGAGGGGUUGUAGGUGUAGUGUAGGUAGGCAUUGAGUGUGGGCAGGUCUGUGCAAUUAUCAAAAAGCUUGUUGGUGAACUUCUGGGAUGUGCAGUUAAGUGAAUAUGCAGGUGAGAUUAGCAAAACCACCCAGAAGGAAAGAAAAAGGAAAGG
rnacentral:misc_RNA from 1 species